rnacentral:misc_RNA from 1 species
GAUGAAGAACGUAGCGAAAUGCGAUAAGUAAUGUGAAUUGCAGAAUUCAGUGAAUCAUCGAAUCUUUGAACGCAUCUUGCGCUCCUUGGAAUUCCUUGGAGCAUGCCUGUUUGAGUAUCAUGAGCAAACCUCAAAGUCAAUUCCUUUUGUUAAUUCAAUUGGUUUUGCUUUGGACUUGGAGGUCUUGCAGAUUUCACAGUCUGCUCCUCUUAAAUGCAUUAGCUGGAUCUCAGUAAUUAUGCUUGGUUCCACUCGGCGUGAUAAGUAUCACUCGCUGAGGACACUGUUAAAAAGGUGGCCAGGAAAAUACUGAUUGAACCGCUUCUAACGGUCUAUUAAGUUAGACAAUUACCCUUAAGUUUGAUCUCAAAUCAGGUAGGACUACCCGCUGAACUUAAGCAUAUCAAUAAGCGGAGGA